UCUUUUCACAGGGUGGCCCAGCCUAACAGGACACACAGACGCAGGUCAUCUACACCAUCACCAUCUACACCUGUAGGAACAGUACGGCACUGAGCCCCUCUUCCCCUCAACACCCCCAGGGACCAGCAAGUACCCCAGGCUGCCCAGGACCCCUCCCAGCAGAAGCACGGAGCCUCCCCUGAAGCAGGAGACCUCCCCAUCUCCAGGCCAAGGACCCCCACCUUCCCUCCCCACUGGGCCUCCAGGAUGCAGCUGGAGGGGUGCGGCCGACUUCAGCUUUAUUUGCAUCAGCAAAUGCCCACAAUGCCCACGCCAUAUUCUUGGGUGCUAGGUUUUUGUUUUUAACCUAAAACAGGAAGGUAGGACUAGUAGUACUAGUGAUAUGAUGCAGUGGUCACAGGGGUCAUGGAGGCCCCUACCUCCACCCCGCCCCAAACUUCUCCAAAAAUCCUACAACUAAGACAAAUAGUGGGGACUGGAGUUGUGGCUCAGCCCUGCCUAGCACGUGUGAGGCACAGGGUUCAACUCUGAGCAUUGCAUAUAAAUAAAUAUAAUAAAGGUCCAUCAACAACUAAAAAAAUUUUUAGAAUUUUAAAAAUAGUGGGCCUAUCAUGAAACUGCAGUUUCAAGAGAAACCAUGUGCCCAACUUCCAAGCUUCUGCCCUUCAGCCCAAAGUGGCAGAAUCUAAGACGUGGCCCCUGAGCAGAGGUGGGAUUCAGUGAAGGGUGAGAAGCCUGAGUCUGGGCCCCACCUACCUACCCCUGUAGCUCCUGCCAUCUCAGGAAGACAGAAGGGCCUGAACUGGUGUUAGAG
rnacentral:lncRNA from 1 species